AAAGAAAAGAAAAAUAAAAAUAAAAUACUUUUGGUGAGACCCACAUAAUUUUUAUUAAGUGGUUAUGAGACCACAUUUUGAUCUCAUUUUCUCUAUUCCUUCUCUCACUCCCGCAAGUCUCUCUCUCCCAUUCUAGACUCUUCUGUUUUUUUCUUUUUCUUGGCUUCAAGAUGCAAUUCUUGAUUACUCCUUCAAUAUUUGAAAAUUUUGGAAGCCGUUUGCGGCAAAUUGAAGCUCACGACGAGAUCUAUAAGUUGAUCGAAGCGAUUUCUAGUUUGGUGCAUUCUAAGAGAUUUGGGAUCUAGGGCACAAAUUGGGGCUUUUCCUCAUUUAAGGAUACGGAAAAGAAGUAGCGGAUGACAAUCCACCCCGGCCUUAGCUUGGAGUAGGAAAAUGUCUCUUAUUGCUAUCUUUUGUAUUUGAGCUUAAUUUUGUAUAAUGUUGACUCAAAAUGUAUUAUUUUGCAAUAUGUGAUGUGUUGACCUUAAGGAUUCCAUCCAAGGACAAUCUAGAGGUUUUGAUGAUAACAAACCAUUAAUGAUGUUUAAGGACUAAUGUUUACAUUAAGUGUUAUAUAGAUUAUUCACAUUCAAAAGAUGACCUCAAUGAAGAGCACGAAAGAUCAUUCCAAGUAUUCCAUUACUCAAGAUCACAUCUAUGGAUAACAAAGGAGACAAAGAAGACAUGAAGUUGCAAGGAACCAAAUGUAAAGUCCAUCCAAAGACAACUUGGACAUCAAUGAUCAAGAAUGCAACUUAAAGAAAGGAAGAAAGCAAGAAUACCUCAAAGCCUAAAAGAUCAUGAACAAAGCUUGAAAAAAGGGGUAGAUAGCUUGGUGAGUUUAACUUAAAUUGUAAAGUUAUUUUUGAAGUAACUUCAUUUGAAAA